rnacentral:rRNA from 1 species
AGUGAACGCUGGCGGUAGGCCUAACACAUGCAAGUCGAACGGCAGCACAGUAAGAGCUUGCUCUUACGGGUGGCGAGUGGCGGACGGGUGAGGAAUACAUCGGAAUCUACUUUUUCGUGGGGGAUAACGUAGGGAAACUUACGCUAAUACCGCAUACGACCUACGGGUGAAAGCAGGGGAUCUUCGGACCUUGCGCGAUUGAAUGAGCCGAUGUCGGAUUAGCUAGUUGGCGGGGUAAAGGCCCACCAAGGCGACGAUCCGUAGCUGGUCUGAGAGGAUGAUAAGCCACACUGGAACUGAGACACGGUCCAGACUCCUACGGGAGGCAGCAGUGGGGAAUAUUGGACAGUGGGCGCAAGCCUGAUCCAGCCAUACCGCGUGGGUGAAGAAGGCCUUCGGGUUGUAAAGCCCUUUUGUUGGGAAAGAAAAGCAGCAGGUUAAUACCCCGCUGUUCUGACGGUACCCAAAGAAUAAGCACCGGCUAACUUCGU